rnacentral:rRNA from 1 species
ACAGCAGUAGCCGCGGUAAAACGUAGGGUGCAAGCGUUAAUCGGAAUUACUGGGCGUAAAGCGUGCGCAGGCGGUUAUAUAAGACAGAUGUGAAAUCCCCGGGCUCAACCUGGGAACUGCAUUUGUGACUGUAUAGCUAGAGUACGGCAGAGGGGGAUGGAAUUCCGCGUGUAGCAGUGAAAUGCGUAGAUAUGCGGAGGAACACCGAUGGCGAAGGCAAUCCCCUGGGCCUGUACUGACGCUCAUGCACGAAAGCGUGGGGAGCAAACAGGAUUAGAUACCCGCGUAGUCCCUGUCUCUUAUAC